CUAUCCCAAGGUUCAUUGCGAUCCCAAGGUUCACUGCGGUUUUCCACAAGCCUGUUUCUGCCUAUCACCAUGAGUGAUUCCUCAAUACUCAGAUUUAUCAUCAAGAUCUCAAUUAUAAGCUCAAGUUUUGAUGACAACUUGGUGAUCUGCAGAAAGCCCCACCAUGUAAGGAAGGCCAAGACCACUCUGGAAUCAGUCAAGGCUCAUAGGAACUCCAAUCUUCCCAACUGUGAGAGGGCCUUGCUCCAGUGACUGUCAGUGAAAUGGAGUGAGGCAUACCAGGAUAUGCCUGGUUUUACUUUUGGGAAGGAGGUUGAACAGUGCAAUAUUUCUUCUAUAGGAUUGCAGUGACCAGACAUGCUACUGUAACUCUCAUGGUCAUGUGCUGGAAUUAGCAGAUAUUCAACAAUUUGGCCAUCUCGCUGACCUGUUGAUAUCAGAAGACCGCAACAGCUCUACAAAGCAAGUUGCAAAACAGAAUCCAUGAAACUGGCAGUGACUGGAAACCAAUUGGAAGACUUUGGUCUGUGAUGUAGAGGAGUGGGCAGAGGUAGCAGAAGCAAAGACAACAAAAAACAGAAGUGAUAUGGAUGUCUUUGUCAUAUUGCAUGACUCUGCUGACCCAGCAACAAAGAGGAGGGUGUUCAACAUCAUCCUGCUGGUCAGGAUUCUUCAGGAGAAGCAGUGGAUUCUUGUGGCAGAGAUGUUCAACCACUAUAAAUACCUUUCAACUCAUCCUGGUUCUUUCAAAGAACUUUCUUGCUUGUUUGCUACUGAAAUGUACUGAUUCGACAUGUGCCCUUAACGAAGAGGGGUUAAAAGGUCUAUGGAUCAUCAUUCUCAAAAAGCAACAAAAUAACUGAGAAAUAAACAACAAUACGAUGGUGCAAUCUAGAGACCUGCAAGGUACCUGCAAGUUUUGGCUGGAGCAGAGAACAUAGAUUUU